rnacentral:sRNA from 1 species
AUAAACCCGAGGUUCCCAAAAUACACCAUAAGCGAGACGGACUUGCGCGACUACACACGAUUCUCACCGUGACCUGGAGGAAAAGGGGUGAGUAAAGAAUUACUCAGUGAGAGGAUCUUUUCCGCCCAGUGGAAGUACGAUACGCGAUUCUACCUUUAAAACACAAUCAGCAAUCACAUAGAAAAAGACACAACACUCAUAUAGUAUGCAUCACUAUGCAAGACUAUAACACACAUCUCAUUCUUGCUUAAGCAAGCUCUCUACAUCAAUACCAGGUUCGAUCAUCUCCCCUGACCUUUGAACCUAUCUAGUUCCACUGGACUCGUCAGUCUUUUAUUGAGCUACAAAGAACCCAUCAAUUUAAUGUAGACCAUUUUCCACUGUUCCACUUUUCAUCAUCUCAAAAGAUGGUAAUUCCACUUUCUUAUAUAACACAUAUAAUUAC